UCGUGACGGUACAGCAUCCGUGUGUGCUAGUCGAGUCAACCGUAGAGGACUGGUUUUAGCCUGGCGGUUACGAUAUCGAGUUUUUCUAUUUGAAAAAUUUCCAGUGUUUGGUCCGGAAUCGGACACGGACGGACUGCCGGAGUGAGAUUGGGUUCAGUUUUCGUACCUAGGUCUGUGCUGUUGCAGACUCACUAAUCUAGGUCGGGUGAGGAUUCCGUUCAGUGGAACCACUAUCGGGAAUGAAAAAUUGUACCCUUGUUGUUGUUGUUGUUGCCGUUGUCGUCGGUUCGGGAACUGGGCGCGUGAAGUGAUUUUUUGCUGUUGUUGUGAGAUGCUCUAUUUGGGGUAAUUGAAUUAAUCAAUGGUUGUCGGGGGAGAGUGCGUCUUUUUUUCGUCCGGCUCAGGAGGGGGUGGCUUCGGACUGCUCUCGGACUGACUUCCGACUGACUGUGUCUGUUUCAACGGCACACGCACAGUGAAUAGCAGACAACAGCAGAAAAGUGAGUGAGAUUACAGUGAUCAAUGUUGCGUAAUAUUAAUGUUAAUGGGUCUCGCUUUUUUUACGCCCGUUUGUUGUUAUAAUCUAGUGAAAUCGACAAGUCCUUUUCGGUUUCUUCUCGGAACGACGGCGCACUGAGUUGGGCGUGGGAGUUCAUGAAUGAUGCUGUGAGCAGCGGCGACGGAAGGGGAACAAAAGAAGAGCACUAAAUGACAUCCAAGCGAAACGGAAGUGGUCAGUUGAAGGAAUUCUAUCCGCUUAGCAUAAGUUCCAAUUAGUUUCCGGAAGGUCGACUUCUGAACAUGGGGAAAAAAGUAUCUACGAUCGGCGAUUUUUUUUUUCGUUGGUAGGAAAGUAAGUCAGUGACAAGUUUUCCGUCUGUACGCUUCCGGGCGGCAUACGUUAAUGUAAUUAUAGAGAAGAAGUGUCCGAAAGUCGUCAGCUGAGGGGGAAGAAAAAAUUUCCCACUGGUUCGUGCUGGGCUUUGCGACUGCUGCUGGUGAAUACGGUGCUGGUGCUGGUUCGGAAGCGGAAGUGAAGUGUUGCUCCGUUAGUGUCGCCACAUUGAAGUGUGUAGUGUUUCUUUUGGGCGGGGGUGGUCAGGAUUCGGGUGUGAAAGGAACAUCAUCGGUGGCGUCAUCUUCGUCUUCAGUUUCGUCGGAGUCGCAGCUGCUACUACUGCCUGCUUGUUGGCUGAACGUGUACAAACUAGGGUAAUAUUAUUUUCGUGGAAAGUCUGCCUCUCGAUUCCGUGCCCACCGAAACCGAAGAUCGCAUCAUGUGUCGGGCUGCUGCCGAACGGUGUAAUAUAAUUACCGACCAAACCACCACCACCGUCGCGGUCGGGGGACAGGAAAGGAAGAACUAGCUAUUCUGCUGUGUGGUGGCUUGUGGCGUGCGAUGAAAAGUGCAUCCCCCGAAAAGAGACUAGAGCCUAGCGCGGGAGGAGGCCAAUCCUGCUGAGUUUCCCAUCAGUGAAGCCGUAGCAGGAGCCUUUCGGCAACGAAAUACACGGUGCAGAAUCAAAUUCCAAUCCAAUCGAUUCCUAUUUGGAUUUCUUCCGCUUCAUCUCACGUGGCUGACUGGUUUGGGGAUCGCGUGGCGAAAAAGAAAAGAGAGGUGAAAUUUUUCGUUCUGCUGUCGAAGGAAAUAAAUAUUGCCGAAGCGUAGGAAGGUUCCACACUCGACAACAGAGACUGCGGACAGGUAUCACCAACUCGCAGAGUAGCAUAAUUUCACCUUUGACUAAGAGAAGAAUAGGAGAAAAAAAACUACGGCGCGCACGAUACAACCAAGGUUUACAAGUGAAUCAAAGUGAGGGUUGUGAACGUGCAAACGGUUAGCAAAAAGAGAAGAAUAGUUGUACAACAAGAAUACCUCCCAUUGUUUAAGCUUUCCAGUCAGAGUCAGCGUGGUGGUAUUGUGGGAAGUUAGUCAGUGAAAGGUUGAAACAAAUCGAAAAAAGGAACCCAGCUCAGCAUCGCGCAGCUUCCAGCAGACUCCAGGUCGAGCAGCUAGUCUGGCGAUUCGGCGGUGAAGGAAACAAAAGGAAAAGUCAUUCCGCUUGUUGAUUAAAUUUAAGGUGAGUUCUGUCUUGAGGGCCAUUCGUACUAAUUUG